CCGCGCCGUGAUGAGCCGCUGUCGGCUGUCGAGUUUGGCGACAAUGAGAGGCGCCUCCAUGCACUACCAGCUGAGCGCGG